rnacentral:rRNA from 1 species
CCCAGACUCCUACGGGAGGCAGCAGUGGGGGAUAUUGCACAAUGGGGGGAACCCUGAUGCAGCGACGCCGCGUGGGUGAAGGAGCGUUUCGGCGCGUAAAGCCCUAUCGGCAGGGAAGAAGGAGGACGGUACCUGACUAAGAAGCCCCGGCUAACUACGUGCCGGCAGCCGCGGUAAUACGUAGGGGGCAAGCGUUAUCCGGAUUUACUGGGUGUAAAGGGGGCGCAGACGGCAGCGCAAGCCAGGAGUGAAAGCCCGGGGCCCAACCCCGGGACUGCCCUUGGAACUGCAUGGCUGGAGUGCAGGAGGGGCAGGCGUAAUUCCUGGUGUAGCGGUGAAAUGCGUAGAUAUCAGGAGGAACACCGGUGGCGAAGGCGGCCUGCUGGACUGCGACUGACGUUGAGGCCCGAAAGCGUGGGGAGCAAACAGGAUUAGAUACCCGUGUA